rnacentral:rRNA from 1 species
CCUACGGGAGGCUGCAGUGGGGGAUAUUGGACAAUGGAGGAAACCCUGAUCCAGCGACGCCGCGUGAGUGAAGAAGUAUUUCGGUGUGUAAAGCUCUAUCAGCAGGGAAAAAAGAAAUGACGGUACCUGAGUAAGAAGCCCCGGCUAACUACGUGCCAGCAGACGCGGUAAUACGGAGGGGGCAAGCGUUAGCCGGAAUUACUGGGUGUAAAGGGAGCGUAGACGGUAAUGCAAGUCUGGAGUGAAAGGCGGGGGCCCAACCCCCGAACUGCUCUGGAAACUGUGUAACUGGAGUGCAGGAGAGGCAGGCGGAAUUCCUGGUGUAGCGGUGAAAUGCGUAGAUAUUAGGAGGAACACCAGUGGCGAAGGCGGCCUGCUGGACUGUAACUGACGUUGAGGCUCGAAAGCGUGGGGAGCAAACAGGAUUAGAUACCCCUGUAGUC